GUUACUAGGAACUAGGAAUGAUGAUGUGCAGUUCGAACUGACAUUCGAGUCACAGGUAUCGUAUCACAAUAAAGCAUUCGUCAAAGCCGUGUGUCAUUCCUUGGCGGCUAAUAGUGCCCAUAGUACUGUACUUAGAGAUCAUUCUUGGAUGCAUCGGAAAACGCCUGGCGAUUAUUUUAUAUAAUCUGUCCAAAAUUGCACAACACAGGGCAGAUCUUUACCUGCAGGCCCGCCCUUUCCUUCGGAGGUGUUGCACCUACCUCUGCACCUCCAGGAGACUGGUAUGCAGUGCCAGCCUGCAGCGUAAUAUGGGGAAGAAGAAGAGCGGAGAUGAUUCUUGGGCUAUCAAUACGACAAGCCACGUUCAGGUGCUACUUUGUGGGUCCUUGGGAAGCAAGCCUGUGAGGCAUGGCAUUGACUCGACAUGCCCAUGAAUACGAUGUACCCCGGCAUAAUCACGAUAUGUGCAUAACGCAUAUCAUUGAUCCCCACAGAAGAUUUUGCCUCUGGUCCUCAGGUGCUCGGGCUGGGCACUGAUGUUGGAGAUGUGGCACCAUCAGUGCUGCUCUUC
rnacentral:lncRNA from 1 species